UGAAUAUAUAUGGAAUAUCAAGCCCCUGCCAUAGACUGUAUAAAAAUCAUAGGCUGCAUAAAAGUACACGACACGGCAGCCAUUUUGUGCCAGAACGCUCAUCACACAUCAAAGUUUUCAAGGGGCUGAUGGGAGAUGUGGGAGAAUCCUCGGGUUUUCAAACAUGCAUCAACUUCUCUAGCUCAAUCUGAACUGCACCUCCCAUUGUGCUCUGUGAUAUGUAAUAGACGAGCUAACUUUUGAAUGAGACAAACGGGGGCGAUGUUGGUGUUCUACAAAUAGUUGGUGUUCUGUCUUCGUUCAAGCUAUUGAAAAGGAACACUGGCGUUUAUGCAUGCUACAAUGAGGAAACAGGAUCAAGCUCUCCUCUACCCCCUCUGUUGAAAAGGAACACUGGUGCUUAUGCAUGCUGCAAUGAGGAAACAGGAUCAAGCUCUCCUCUACCCCCUAUCAGUGAAAAUGUAUAAGAGUAUGGGGUACAUUCCCCAACCCCGUACAGGGUACACCCACUGCCCUCAGAUGCACUGUGAUAAGGCACACUUCAGAAAUGCAGAGACUCACAACAUGUUCUGCAUACAUGCAUCGCACAUCUUGAUAUAGGCCGUCUCUAAGAACAGUGUGUUCUGUGUGAAAGUGAAUGGUGGGACAUGGGUAAAAUGAGGGAGCGUUUGAUGACAUUUCAUUUGAAUGUUUACUCAGUGAUUAGUGUUAAUUGAUGUUUUUUUUCUUGUUUAAUAUUAUUAAUUCAAUGAUUUGUUUUUUUAAGCUCACAAGAAAUGGAAGACACAAGAAGUCAAUGUCUCAAUCCAUUCAGAGUCUACAUGGCUGUAUCAGUGAAUUUGUGAUAUACGUUUUCUGCUGGUGAAAGCAUGCUCAUAGUCAAACCACUUUUAGAUACUGUGUGUAUAUUUACCUUCUAUUUCCUGAAUUGAUAUUUUGCAAAUUUCUUUAGAAAAGUACCUCCUGAGUCUCUGCAUUGUGUUUGUGUUCCACCACCAAGGUGCUUCAUUUACUAUUUCAGGAGAGGCCAUUUCCGAUUUUCCCGCUAAUUUCACUUAAGAGAAAGAGAGAAUCCAUUAUUUAUGGCCAUUCCGGUGAAAGUGUUCUUUGUUCCGAGCGAAGAUGUGAUGAUGUCAGAGGUCAGCGGCGCCACGGCAGGCAAUCGAGACUGAUGGAGACCUGCAGGGCGGUUUUUCCGUUGACUGCGGGCGCUGAGCGGAAGAGGACACGGGAUACGCGGCUUUAUCGCUCUGCGGGUCGGCACUGCAGAGCAGAACUGCCCGCGUCUCCAGGACCCGCCAGCGCUCGCGGCCUGAAAUUAUUGCGUUGCGCUGCAUGACAUUAUUUAUUUACACUGCCAGUUUGGCGGCGGCCCUCAGUCAUUACAACUUAAACAGUUUGUGCAUGAAUACGGGUCGAAUGAUUUAAUCAAUGAUUUAAAGCUGUAGGUUAACCUCCGCGUCCGUGGGCGGGGCCGGAGUGCCCUCUCUGCUCUGCAUGAAUCUCGGUUUAAAAGCCCAGACUUUCACUCGCGUAACACGUGCUGGCGCGGGACGAGAGCGGAGCUGCUCUUUGUGCUGUUUUUAGUAAAAGGAGAGCUGAGUCUGAGGGUGACUCUCCUCUCCUCGUUUGUAAAUUCAAAAACAGCCAGACACCAUCACUCUGCAGUGGCACCCUACCGAUUAUCAAAAUCGAAUGCAAAUUCAGAUAAGCUUCCCUGGCAAGACAAUGAUCCCAUCAUUUAAGGGCGCUGGUCUUUGUCCAUGAGCCAGAAUACUAUUAGCUUAAUACGAUGUUGAUUUAUUUCAGUUGUCUGCAUAAACGUCUGUUGUUCAAGGCAAGUGGGAAGAAAAGAAAUAUGCUUCUGUACUGUUCUGGAAUUAUUGGCAGAGGUGGAUCCACGAAGAGCUGCUUGAUUAGUCUAACUGGUUUAAUGGCCUUAAUUGGUGAAAUGGAUUUAAUUUCUUUCUCCAUAAUUGCUGUACGCUUUUAACCCUUUCCUGCAAAGUGACUCUGCACCUCGGCAGGUCUGCCCCUUUGGCUCUUUCUGCGUGUUUGUGCAGGACGACCUGCUGCAGACCGCCAUGGGACCGCCUGCCAAGCCUGUUAUAACGUUUGGCUCAUUUCCUGUGGCAUCCUAUCGUGGAUUGCAUUUACUGUGCUUUAUGCCUGGGGUGCGUUUUAGUCAGGGAAUGGAGAGCAUGCAUUUGGAUCCUCUAUUCAUUUUGAAUCCAUAAAUAUCGACUUAUCAGAUUUCUCAUAGAAUAUCAGAAAGGUUCGUUGAGCUUUUUUUUUUUUUUACUUCAGUAACAGAAGCUGUGGUUUGUCCGUGGCUCACUCUUGGAUGAAAGGCUCAAGUCAUUUGCUGAAAGUUGAAAAGUAGGAUGAAGGAGCUCCAGAAUUUAGCACAGCGUUUUCCUUCCUUUGAAACCAAAGGGAAGAGGGUUAAAGGGUUUGUUCAGUGUUUAUCUCGUCACACAGCAAAUGUGGUCCUAUCUUUAAUAUUUUAAAUAAAGUGCAUGAACAUC